rnacentral:lncRNA from 13 species
GGUGAAAGGCAGAACACAGCAUCCGCUCCGGGAAAGUCAUAUUCUUGGUCGUACUGAUGGUGAGUUGACGCUGCUCUUAUAUUCAGUAGUUCUUCUCGACUGUAUGUAAUGAAACCUAAGAUGACCUGGGGUACCAAUGUAAGAAAUAACACGUAAAAAAAACAAAAAACUGCAUAGUUUCCUAGGAACGCGAAGCGAGGCGGCCAUCUCUGUCAGCGCCAGAAGGAGGAGACAAAGCGUAAGCAGGUGGAGUAUGCACCUCAUGCCAGCCACCAGGCCAAACUGGUCAAAAUGGCUGACAAACUAUACAACCUGAGGGACAUCAACCGCAGCACGCCAACAGAGGUUUCCAGUGAUUUGCAUCGAUUGACUCCCAGGGCUUGGACAGGCAGCCCAGCCACAACCUCCCUCCACACAGACCAGACCCAUGGGGGAUGCUGCUUAGCUCUCUGUUCAGGGGGAUUAGGGGAGGGGGGCUUUCCAAGGAGCUCCAUGGAGGAAUCUACCAUGCAUUGGAAAUCUUUGCUCCUCUGAAAGGACAGUAUGGAGGGGAAUGACAGCACUGGAUUGAGUCAUACAAUUAUGCAGUUGCAGGCCUUAAUUUAUUGUAACAUGUUCUUUCGUCUUUGUUCAUGUACUGUACUUGUAAGGAUUGCUAAACUCAUAGUCACCAUUAUUUGAGUGAUUGUAAAUGGUCGUCAAUAAAUAAUAAUGUCCUGAAGAGUAGACAGCACCUCUCUUUAGGCCCCUCUCUACUGAGUGGAGAGAAAAGCUGGCCGAAAAGAACCUUCACCUUAAUUCUUAUGGCUGCAGGGGCAGUAUUGAGUAGCUUGGAUGAAAAGGUGCCCAGAGUAAACGGCCAGCUCCUCAGUCUCAGUUGCUAAUAUAUGCAUAUUAUUAGUAGUAUUGGAUAGAAAACACUCUACAGUUUCCAAAACUGUCAAAAUAUUGUCUGUCAGUAUAACAGAACUGAUAUUCCAGGUGAAACCCUGAGGAAAAUCAAACCAGGAGGUGGCUUCUAUUUUGAAAACUCCAUGUUCCAUAGCCUGCCUUUGCUCCAUUUAAAGGGAUAUCAACCAGAUUCCUUUUCCUAUUGCUUCCUCAAGGUGUCAACAGUCUUCAGACAUAGUU